rnacentral:rRNA from 1 species
UGGGGAAUUUUGGACAAUGGGGGAAACCCUGAUCCAGCCAUCCCGCGUGUGCGAUGAAGGCCUUCGGGUUGUAAAGCACUUUUGUCUGGAAAGAAACGUCAUGGGUUAUUACCCCGUGAAACUGACGGUACCUGCAGAAUAAGCACCGGCUAACUACGUGCCAGCAGCCGCGGUAAUACGUAGGGUGCAAGCGUUAAUCGGAAUUACUGGGCGUAAAGCGUGCGCAGGCGGUUCGGAAAGAAAGAUGUGAAAUCCCAGAGCUCAACUUUGGAACUGCAUUUUUAACUACCGGGCUAGGGUGUGUCAGAGGGAGGUGGAAUUCCGCGUGUAGCAGUGAAAUGCGUAGAUAUGCGGAGGAACACCGAUGGCGAAGGCAGCCUCCUGGGAUAACACUGACGCUCAUGCACGAAAGCGUGGGGAGCAAACAGG